rnacentral:rRNA from 1 species
CAAGUCGAGUGCGCGUUUCUGUAGCAAUACAGGAAUGGCGCACGGCGCACGGGUGCGUAACACGUGGGUAAUCUGCCCUCUGAUGGGGAAUAACCCGCCGAAAGGCGGGCUAAUUCCGCAUAACAUUCCUUGGACUCCGGUUCGAGGAUUCAAAGGCGUAAGUCGUCGGAGGUGGAGCCCGCGCACGAUUAGCUAGUUGGUAGGGUAACGGCCUACCAAGGCUUUGAUCGUUAGCUGGUCUGAGAGGAUGGCCAGCCACACUGGAACUGAGACACGGUCCAGACUCCUACGGGAGGCAGCAGUGGGGAAUCUUGCACAAUGGGCGAAAGCCUGAUGCAGCGACGCCGCGUGGGGGAUGAAGCUUCUCGGAGUGUAAACCCCUUUCGACCCGGACGAAUGCCCCGCAAGGGGAGUGACGGUACGGGUAUAAGAAGCCCCGGCUAACUACGUGCCAGCAGCCGCGGUAAGACGUAGGGGGCCAGCGUUGUUCGGAAUUACUGGGUGUAAAGGGUUCGUAGGCGGUGUAGCAAGUUGGGAGUGAAAUCUCUGGGCUCAACUCAGAGGCUGCUUCCAAAACUGCUGUGCUGGAGUGUGGGAGAGGCGCGUGGAAUUGCAGGUGUAGCGGUGAAAUGCGUAGAUAUCUGCAGGAACACCCGUGGCGAAGGCGGCGCGCUGGACCACUACUGACGCUGAGGAACGAAAGCUAGGGGAGCAAACAGGAUUAGAUACCCUGGUAGUCCUAGCCCUAAACGAUCAGGACUUGGGGUGCCACCCGUUCGGGUGUCGUCCCGGAGCUAACGCGUUAAGUCCUGCACCUGGGGAGUACGGUCGCAAGACUGAAACUCAAAGGAAUUGACGGGGGCC